rnacentral:tRNA from 1 species
GGGGGUGUAGCUCAGUUGGGAGAGCACCUGCCUUGCAAGCAGGGGGUCAAGAGUUCGAAUCUCUCCAUAUCCA